ACGAAGCUAAAAAAUGCUCGUAAAUUCUUAGAAAAAGGCGACAAAGUAAAAGCCGCUGUUCGUUUCCGCGGACGUGCUAUUACGCAUAAAGAAUUAGGACGAGAAGUACUUGAUCGAUUUGCUGAGGAAGUAAAAGAUAUUGCGACUGUUGAGACAAAGCCUAAAAUGGAAGGUCGUAAUAUGUUUAUGAUGCUUGCUCCAGUAAAUGAGAAGUAGAUUUAGAUCGUUAGUUAUAAGGAGGAAAAAUACUAUGCCAAAAAUGAAGACCCAUAAAGGUUCUCA
rnacentral:misc_RNA from 1 species